UACGUAGGGAGCAAGCGUUGUCCGGAAUCAUUGGGCGUAAAGCGCGCGUAGGUGGCCAUGUAAGUCCGCUGUGAAAGUCAAAGGCUCAACCUUUGAAAGCCGGUGGAUACUGCAGGGCUAGAGUCCGGAAGAGGCGAGUGGAAUUCCUGGUGUAGCGGUGAAAUGCGCAGAUAUCAGGAGGAACACCGAUGGCGAAGGCAGCUCGCUGGGACGGUACUGACGCUGAGGCGCGAAAGCGUGGGGAGCAAACAGG
rnacentral:rRNA from 1 species